AAUGGGGGAAAAUAAUUUAUUCAAAGAGACUCAUUAAGCCUGAGACUUAAGUUUGUAAAUUUAGAUAAUGUCUUAAUUAUUUUAGAGGAGAGUAAUUAUUUGGUGGUCUCACUGAAACAUCAUUUUCCUACUGCAUUGUAAUUGCAUUUCACUAACAACACAAAGCUAUCUGAGAACUUGGAUGUACGAUAAACACAUUCAUUAUUUAUCUUUGGAGGAAUGGCUUGAAAUUAAGACUGCAAUAUGAACAGCCUUCUUUUCUCCAGCUUGCAGUGUCUUAAAGUUUUUCUUUUCUUCAUUAUUUAGACUGGUCAUUCUUUUUAAAUUGACCUCAGACUAGAAAUUAGCUGAUAGAUAAUAAUAUCUACCCUGUUCCUCAAAUUAAAAAAACAAACCUCAGAGCAUACUUUUAUCCUUCCCUUAUAUAGGUGUCUAACCCAUAAACAAGUACUGUUGGUUCAAGCUAUAAAAUACACCCCAAAGCUGUUCAUUUCUCCUUAUCUCUAUCACCUUUACCCAUAGGUCUAAACCACUAUUAUUUUUGGCUUGAUCUGUUCUGGUAGCCACUUUACUGGUCUUUUGGCUCCACUUUUGAUUCCCUACAAUCUUUUCUCCACAGAACAAACAGAAUGAUGCUUUGAAACCUUCAUUUAAACAAACCAUUCUUCCCUGGUGCCUCAGACAGCAAAGAAUCUUCCUUCAAUGCAAGAGACCUGAGUUUGAACCCUGGGUCGGGAAGGGAAUGGCAACCCACUCCAGUAUUCUUGCCUGGAGAAUUCCAUGGACAGAGGAGCCUGGCUAUAGUCCUUGGGAGUUGCAAAGAGCCAAACAUGACUGAGUUACGAACACACACACACAAAUUCUCCCCCAUUGCCCUACUUCCUCUUAAGGUUCUUCAGAGCUUCCUCGUCCACUUAACAUGAGGGGCAGACUUCUUAGCAUAAAGGACCUGAUAUGACCUGGGCCCUGCUUAACUGCAUGUCCCCCUGCCAUACUAUCCACUUUUGAAACUCACAGAGCCUUAGCUCCACUGACUUUCCUUCUGUUCUUUGACUCAUUAAAUCCACUCUUGCCUCAGCUCCUUUGUGUUUGCUCUUCUCCCCUUUUCCUUUUGCCUCUGAUUCAGAACCCAGCUGCAGCCACUUAGAUUUCAGCUCAGGUGUUUCCUCUUUAGAGAGGACUUGCCUUACACUCUAUAUAAGGUAACCCCACUACCCCAGCCACUCUUUACCAAGUUGAAGUUCCAUCUUCAUCUCACCAUUUACUAUUACCUAAAAUUCUUAUGAUUUUUAUCCAUUGGUUGACUUGUCUCUUCUCAGCUGAUAAACAGACCUAUGUGAGGUCGACACACUCUUUAUUUUAGCCUUCUCUAACCCUAGAAGGUCUGACCUCCAACAGAGGCUCAGUGAGGAUUAGUUCAACUGGUUAUUUCUGAGGCCUGAACUCCAUCAGUUUGGCUUGAAAAGGAAAAGCUCCAAUGGACUCCUAUUACGCAAAGGUUUUUUCUUCCACUGUUUUGCUGAAGUUUCUUAAAUGCGCUCCUGAGCUCUCCCAAAGCUGUUUUUGUUCAUAAUUGCCUCGUGGUUGAUCUUCGUGGGAGGAUGGAGGUUGGUGUCACCAUUUUGGUAACAGUACUUGUAACUCUAUGCCUGUGUGUCUCAAACAGAAGAAUUUUGAAGAAUCAGUCUAUUUUUGGAAACCAACCUGGAUAAAAUGUUAAGAAUAAUUUUUCUUAUUAUCAUGGCUUACUCUGAAAUAUAUAAUCACUGGUGAUUUAUUCUGCAUAAGCUUAGCACAAUAAAAACCACCUGGGGUCUUAGGA